UACGUAGGGUGCAAGCGUUGUCCGGAAUUAUUGGGCGUAAAGAGCUCGUAGGCGGUCUGUCGCGUCGGCUGUGAAAUCCCGGAGCUCAACUCCGGGUCUGCAGUCGAUACGGGCAAACUGGAGUACUGCAGGGGGGACUGGAAUUCCUGGUGUAGCGGUGAAAUGCGCAGAUAUCAGGAGGAACACCGGUGGCGAAGGCGGGUCUCUGGGCAGUAACUGACGCUGAGGAGCGAAAGCGUGGGGAGCGAACAGG
rnacentral:rRNA from 1 species